CCUACGGGUGGCUGCAGUAGGGAAUCUUCCACAAUGGGCGAAAGCCUGAUGGAGCAACGCCGCGUGGGUGAAGAAGGUCUUCCGAUCUUAAAACCCUUUUUUUAGAGGAGUAAGUUCGGGAGAGUAACUGUUCACGUUUCGACUGUAUCUAACCAGAAAGCCACGGCUAACUCCGUGCCAGCAGCCGAGGUAAUACGUAGGUGGCAAUCGUUAUCCGGAUUUGUUGGGCGUAAAGGGAACGCAGGCGGGCGUUUAAGUCUGAUGUUAAAGCCUUCGGCUUAACCGGAGUAGUGCAUUGGAAACUGGGAGCCUUGAGUACAGAAGAGGAAAGUGGAACUCCAGGUGUAGCGGUGAAAUGCGUAGAUAUAUGGAAGAACACCAGUGGCGAAGGCGGCUCUCUGGUCUGUAACUGACACUGAGGUUCGAAAGCGUGGGUAGCAAACAGGAUUAGAUACCCGAGUAGUC
rnacentral:rRNA from 1 species